GACGAACGCUGGCGGCGUGCUUAACACAUGCAAGUCGAACGGAAAGGCCCUGCUUUUGUGGGGUGCUCGAGUGGCGAACGGGUGAGUAACACGUGAGUAACCUGCCCUUGACUUUGGGAUAACUUCAGGAAACUGGGGCUAAUACCGGAUAGGAGCUCCUGCUGCAUGGUGGGGGUUGGAAAGUUUCGGCGGUUGGGGAUGGACUCGCGGCUUAUCAGCUUGUUGGUGGGGUAGUGGCUUACCAAGGCUUUGACGGGUAGCCGGCCUGAGAGGGUGACCGGCCACAUUGGGACUGAGAUACGGCCCAGACUCCUACGGGAGGCAGCAGUGGGGAAUAUUGCACAAUGGGCGGAAGCCUGAUGCAGCAACGCCGCGUGCGGGAUGACGGCCUUCGGGUUGUAAACCGCUUUCGCCUGUGACGAAGCGUGAGUGACGGUAAUGGGUAAAGAAGCACCGGCUAACUACGUGCCAGCAGCCGCGGUGAUACGUAGGGUGCGAGCGUUGUCCGGAUUUAUUGGGCGUAAAGGGCUCGUAGGUGGUUGAUCGCGUCGGAAGUGUAAUCUUGGGGCUUAACCCUGAGCGUGCUUUCGAUACGGGUUGACUUGAGGAAGGUAGGGGAGAAUGGAAUUCCUGGUGGAGCGGUGGAAUGCGCAGAUAUCAGGAGGAACACCAGUGGCGAAGGCGGUUCCCUGGGCCUUUCCUGACGCUGAGGAGCGAAGGCGUGGGGAGCGAACAGGCUUAGAUACCCUGGUAGUCCACGCUGUAAACGGUGGGUACUAGGUGUGGGGUCCAUUCCACGGGUUCCGUGCCGUAGCUAACGCUUUAAGUACCCCGCCUGGGGAGUACGGCCGCAAGGCUAAAACUCAAAGGAAUUGACGGGGCCCCGCACAAGCGGCGGAGCAUGCGGAUUAAUUCGAUGCAACGCGUAGAACCUUACCUGGGUUUGACAUGGAUCGGGAGUGCUCAGAGAUGGGUGUGCCUCUUUUGGGGUCGGUUCACAGGUGGUGCAUGGCUGUCGUCAGCUCGUGUCGUGAGAUGUUGUGUUAAGUCCCGCAACGAGCGCAACCCUUGUUCACUGUUGCCAGCACGUUAUGGUGGGGACUCAGUGGAGACCGCCGGGGUCAACUCGGAGGAAGGUGGGGAUGACGUCAAGUCAUCAUGCCCCUUAUGUCCAGGGCUUCACGCAUGCUACAAUGGCUGGUACAGAGAGUGGCGAGCCUGUGAGGGUGAGCGAAUCUCGGAAAGCCGGUCUCAGUUCGGAUUGGGGUCUGCAACUCGACCUCAUGAAGUCGGAGUCGCUAGUAAUCGCAGAUCAGCAACGCUGCGGUGAAUACGUUCCCGGG
rnacentral:rRNA from 1 species